rnacentral:rRNA from 1 species
AAGAAACUAACCAGGAUUCCCCUAGUAACGGCGAGUGAAGAGGGAAAAGCCCAGCACCGAAGCCUGUGGCAAUUUUGCUGCUAGGCAAUGUGGUGUUUAGGUCGGCUCGUGGGAUCGCCACUCCACUCGAAGUCCAGCAUUGAGUAUGGUUCCCAGGAAUUGGCCCAUAGAGGGUGAAAGGCCCGUACGAGUGGAUGUGUCAGACAUGUAAGGCGAUUCACCAGGCCGGCCUUAGAGUCGGGUUGUUUGCGAAUGCAGCCCAAAGCGGGUGGUAAACUCCAUCCAAGGCUAAAUACUAGCACGAGUCCGAUAGCGAACAAGUACCGUGAGGGAAAGUUGAAAAGUACUUUGAAAAGAGAGUAAACAGUACGUGAAACCGCAUAGAGGUAAACGGGUGGCGUCAAGCUGCAAGCCCAGAGAAUUCAGUCGGUCAGGGUGUUGUUAUGCGCCCAGCGCAUCUAUCAGUCGGUGUAUAGUUUGGCUAGUCCGCUGGCAAAUGGCGGGCCCAGCUGUCAAAGGCUGGGAUUUGUGUACCGGGAGGUAGCCGGAGCAUGCUAGCCRUCUGUUGGACUGCCUGGCCGAUGCACUUUCUCUGUUGGUGAACACCACGACCGGUGGAACUGCCAGUCUGCUGUAGCCAGCUUCUCCGCGUGCUCUGGUCUCGGCUGGGGCAUGUGGUGAUCACAGACAAUUUCAGUGCACGGUGCUCGUGUGUUUUCCGCAUGCGGGCAUGUUAUCGGGAACUGGUUGUAAACGGGUCUGYCCGYCGACUUGUCUGUAGUCGCGGUUGACGGGUGACCCGGUGGGCUACAGUGGUAUGAAUAACUGUGCAGGGCACCGGAGUUUUCGGUCCGACCGGCAAUGGUCGCUUGCGGCUGUUGCUGCCGGCUGCACGCGCACUACAGUUUAGCGUGUGCWRCUACUGCUGCUUUAGUAGUGUUAGURGUACGGAUGGCGCUGCUACGGCCUGCCAGUCGUUGGGUCUGAUUGUCGUGUCGCCUGCCAAAAUGGCGGGUCCGGCAGUGGCCUGGCGUUGGAUGGUGCCUGUUGGCGGCGUUGUCAAUGUGCAGCCGGAAUGUGUGCGCGACCUUAUAGUCUGUGGUGUAGUGGUAGACGAGCUACCCGAC